UACGUAGGGACCAAGCGUUGUUCGGAUUUACUGGGCGUAAAGGGCGCGUAGGCGGCAAUUCAAGUCAGCUGUGAAAUCUCCGGGCUUAACUCGGAACGGUCAGCUGAUACUGCUUUGCUAGAGUGCAGAAGGGGCAAUCGGAAUUCUUGGUGUAGCGGUGAAAUGCGUAGAUAUCAAGAGGAACACCGGUGGCGAAGGCGGCGAUCUGGACGAUGACUGACGCUGAGACGCGAAAGCGUGGGGAGCAAACAGG
rnacentral:rRNA from 1 species